CGUGCUUACACAUGCAANUGGAGCGACGAACCCGGGCUUGCCCGGGGCCAGAGCCGCGAACGGGUGAGUAACACGUGGGUAACCUACCCCGAUGACCGGGACAACUCGAGGAAACUCGGGCUAAUACCGGAUGUGCUCCUGAACCUUGAGGUUCAGGCGUAAGGAUAGCUUCGGCCUUCGCAUCGGGACGGGCCCGCGGCCCAUUAGCUUGUUGGUGAGGUAACGGCUUACCAAGGCGACGAUGGGUAGCUGGUCUGAGAGGACGAUCAGCCACACUGGGACUGAGACACGGCCCAGACUCCUACGGGAGGCAGCAGUGGGGAAUCUUGCGCAAUGCGCGAAAGCGUGACGCAGCAACGCCGCGUGGGGGAAGACGGCCUUCGGGUUGUAAACCCCUUUCAGUUGGGACGAAGCUCCGUCGGUGAAUAGCCGGCUGGAGUGACGGUACCUUCACAAGAAGCCCCGGCUAACUACGUGCCAGCAGCCGCGGUAAUACGUAGGGGGCUAGCGUUGUCCGGAAUCAUUGGGCGUAAAGCGCGUGUAGGCGGUCCGGUAAGUCCGCUGUGAAAGUCGGGGGCUCAACCCUCGAAAGCCGGUGGAUACUGUCGGGCUAGAGUACGGAAG
rnacentral:rRNA from 1 species